ensembl:lncRNA
GGUAGAAAUGCUUUUAUGCGCAAAUAUUGAUAUAGUAACCAUUAUAUCGAAGCAAGCUUGGAGUCACGCAAAGACAUAUUGUGUGUAGUCCCAUUACGACUGGUCAGGAAAGCAUGAGGUUUAUUAGGCUACAGAUGAAAUAAGUCAUGAUUCACUUCAAGGUGAUGAGCUUGAUGCUCCUUUCCAAUAAAUACUGAGGGUCUUAUUCUAGUGACAUGAUCAUCAAUGCUUGGCUACCGUUUGACAAAUAAAAAUGAUCUUGUUCUUUUGUCCAUAAUAAUCUCCUUGUGUAGGCCAGUGGUUCCCAAUCAGGGGCACUAGGACCCCUGGGGGUACUUGGCAUAUCCACAGGGGGUACUUGACGAAGACUCAUGAGACCAUCGACCUAUAGGUAAAAUUCACGAGGUGGUACUCUGUGAAGAGCAAAAUUCAGUUGGUGGUACAGUAACCAAUAAAGGUUGGAAACCACUAAUGUACGUGUAUUGUGAGCUGUUGGCUAGAGCACACUCGCUAUAUAACCAUCAGUAGAGUUGAAAAUGCGAUGGAAACCCAUUUCACUUGUAUUUUUUAUCUGGUACAUGGGAAUUUAACCUCAAUGUAUUUUCAUGUGCACUACGUCAUCACACACAGCCUUUUAUCAGUAAGUACAUUUGAUGAAAACACAUCUCUGGUGGAAAAAUGCACAUAUUGUUUUUAUGCGGAUUUUAGAAUAUUCACAUGAAAAUCGGUUGCCAAUUGGAUGGAAACCUAGCUACUGAAUAAAUGUGUUUGGCACAGGAUAAAGAAGAUGAAACAAUCUACUGCUGCAACCCAAGGCCAAGGGAUACUGAAGUUCCUGAAAAUGCAAUCAGUUCCUACAGUGAGCGCCUGGGAACCAGCCUCUGAUAUGUCAGAUGGAGACCAGGACAACAACAAAGUUGAAUUUACACCAUUUAAAAAAAUUUUUUUUUACAAAGUUUACUGUGUAUAGUAUUAAAUGUAACCCUGCCUUGUUCGAAAGUCUACUGUGUAUAGUGUUAAAUGUAACACUGCCUUGUUACAAAGUCUACUGUGUAUAGUGUUAAAUAUAACCCUGCUUUGUUACAAAGUCUACAGUGUAUAGUGUUAAAUGUAACACUGCCUUGUUAUAAAGUCUAAUGUGUAUAGUGUUAAAUGUAACCCUGCCUCUUAAGGAUCCGCCCCUUUUUUUACAUUUUCACCUAAAAUGACAUACCCAAAUCUAACUACCUGUAGCUCAGGCCCUGAAGCAAGGAUAUGCAUAUUCUUGGUACCAUUUGAAAGGAAACACUUUGAAGUUUGUGGAAAUGUGAAAGGAAUGUAGGAGAAUAUAACACAAUAGAUCUGGUAAAAGAUAAUACAAAGAAAAAACCAACCGUUCUUUUGUAUUUUUUUGUACCAUCAUCUUUAAAAUGCAAGAGAAAGGCCAUAAUGUAUUAUUCCAGCCCAGGUGCAAUUUAGAUGUUGGCCACUAGAUGGCAGCAGUGUGUGUGCAAAGUCUUAGACUGAGCCAAAGAACCAUUGCAUUUCUGUUCAAAAUUGUGCACUCUCCUCAAACAAUAGCAUGGCAUUCUUUCACUGUAAUAGCUACUGUAAAUUGGACAGUGCAGUUAGAUUAACAAGAAUUUAAGCUUUCUGACGUUAGCUCAACCAUCCUGUGGAAGGGACACUGAUCCCGAAGAAGUUAAAUGUAACCCUGCCUUGUUAAAGUCCAAAGUGUAGUGUUAAAUGUAAACCUGCCUUGUUCCAAAGUCUACUGCAUAUAGUGUUACAUGUAACCUUGCCUUGUUACAAAGUCUACUGUGUAUAGUGUUAAAUGUAACCCUGCCUUACAUAAAGCUUAAAGAAUGAAUAAUUGCAGAAGAGCAUCGUGAUCUGAGACACAAAUAAUAGGUUUUAUGAAAAAAUGAAAAUACUUUUCUACAUUGAAACCUGUCUGUCUUGUUUAUCAAGUCAACUGCUUAACAUUGCUUGUAUAGAGUGAAAUUAAUAUUUUAAGACAUUGUAACCAUUCUUUGCAUAACGUUCAGCCCUGCUAUAGCACUUCACUAAAGUACAGAGUAUGUUGCCCAUUGAAGUUGUUGUCUCUGGCUCUUUUGGUGUCACAUUAAGAAUGAAUAAUAACAAGGUUUGUGGUGGUUUGAUCCACCUUAGGCCAGGAGUGUUUCCAAUUCACAUGACCCGACAAGAAAAAAAACAGACCUGUAGUCAUAACACAGAAGAAAAGGGAAGCUAUCUAUAAU